GAAUUCGCCCUUAGAGCUUUAUCCUGGCUCAGGACGAACGCUGGCGGCGUGCCUAGCACAUGCAAGUCGAACGGAGCUGUUUUGACUGAUCCCUUCGGGGUGACGAUGAUUCAGCUUAGUGGCGGACGGGUGAGUAACGCGUGAGCAACCUGCCUUUCAGUGGGGGACAACAGUUGGAAACGACUGCUAAUACCGCAUAAGCGCACAGGAUCGCAUGGUCUGGUGUGAAAAACUCCGGUGGUAUGAGAUGGACCCGCGUCUGAUUAGGUAGUUGGUGAGGUAACGGCUCACCAAGCCGACGAUCAGUAGCCGACCUGAGAGGGUGAUCGGCCACAUUGGGACUGAGACACGGCCCGCCUUCCUGCGGGNGGCGGCCGUGGGGGNUNUUGCCCUCUGGGGGUUUCCCUGUUGCCGCGNCGCCGCGUGGNGGNUGUGGGUUUUCGGGUUGUGUCGUUCUGUCGUUCGGGUCGGUGUUGUCGGUGCCUGCCUGGNUAGCUCCGGCUGUCUUCGUGCCNGCCGCCGCGGUGUUUCGUGGGGUGCCCGCGCUGUCCGGNUUUUCUGGGUGUNUUGGGCGCGCGGGCGGGUGGUCUUGUUGGUGGUGUNNUCCCUGGGCUCUCCCCGUGGNUUGCUUUCUGGGCUGUUUUUCUUGUGUGGUGCUGGGGUGGGUGGNNUUCCCGGUGUNGCGGUGGGUGGCGUNGGUUUCGGGGGGGCCNCCGGUGGCGGGNGCGGUCUCCUGGGCGCCCCUCGNCGCUGCGGCUCGAAAGCAUGGGUGGCCCCAGAAAUUAGAUACCCUGGUAGUCCAUGCCGUAAACGAUGAUUACUAGGUGUUGGGGGAUUGACCCCCUCAGUGCCGCAGUUAACGCAAUAAGUAAUCCACCUGGGGAGUACGACCGCAAGGUUGAAACUCAAAGGAAUUGACGGGGGCCCGCACAAGCAGUGGAGUAUGUGGUUUAAUUCGACGCAACGCGAAGAACCUUACCAAGUCUUGACAUCCCUUGACAGACAUAGAAAUAUGUAAUCUCUUCGGAGCAAGGAGACAGGUGGUGCAUGGUUGUCGUCAGCUCGUGUCGUGAGAUGUUGGGUUAAGUCCCGCAACGAGCGCAACCCUUAUGGUCAGUUACUACGCAAGAGGACUCUGGCCAGACUGCCGUUGACAAAACGGAGGAAGGUGGGGAUGACGUCAAAUCAUCAUGCCCUUUAUGACUUGGGCUAUACACGUGCUACAAUGGCGUAAACAAAGGGAAGCGAUCACGCGAGUGUGAGCAAAUCUCAAAAAUAACGUCUCAGUUCGGAUUGUAGUCUGCAACUCGACUACAUGAAGCUGGAAUCGCUAGUAAUCGCAGGUCAGCAUACUGCGGUGAAUACGUUCCCGGGUCUUGUACACACCGCCCGUCA
rnacentral:rRNA from 1 species